CAAGGAAAGGAUCCCCAGAUCAGCAGUCAGCAGCCCAGUGGACCUUCCCAGAAUGGAUGCUACUCUCCUUCCAUGCCCAGAGGAGAAAUUUGGCCAUGACAGCAAGCUUAAUGGGAGGCUGCAGAGAGCCACACAUCAGGGAGAAGACACGGACCACUCAUCGGCAGUUCUCCAAGACCAUUAGGACUGCGCCUCACCCACUGUGGACCCUGCCCCUAACAAACUCCAUGCUGCUGCCCAGUAUGGAACAUUUCCCAUGCCCACCACUACCCCAACAAUGCUGUUGCCUCUGGCUUCAAAUAUUUUCAAAUUUGGACUACUUGCGUCUUGACUAGUUCCUCCAGAAAGUGAUUGGUGCAGGGUGUUGGUGUAUUGUUUGUGUCUGUCACUAGCUGAGGGGGUGAAGAGCAAGGGGGAGGAGCGUGAGGCAGGGGCUGCCGCUCUUUCAGCGGGGAGAUGGGGUUUGGAAACAGGGACCAGGACUGUGAGUAGGAUCUGCUUCUGCCUUGGCCGAGGGAGCAGGCAAGGCCUGGGGCCCUUUUAAUUCUAGACGGGCCGAACCUCCCCUCGGCCUGGUCUCUGAAGCUCCCUACCCAUUCAUGGCCCCUGGAGUACCAACCCUCCCGGCUUGACAGAGUUGGGUGUCCCAGGGAAGGGGAAUCGAGUAUAAGGAAGGGGAGAGUGAGCUAUCACUGUGUGAACAAAAUCCUUCCUGGAGGAACCAAAUGAUUUCAAGAGAAUCUGGUGGCUAGCCCCAGAUGAAGCAUAAGGCUAUGGCAUAUAUUUCUCAAAGACAACAGCAUUGUCAGCCCCUUUCUUCCCCUCCCAAAUUGUGAUCCCCAUUUUCCCCCCUGAAAUCUGUAUCUCUGCCCUGCUGAAGAAAUAUGCAUUGUACAUUCCAAGUGCUCUGCACAUAUUAAGUGCUCAAUAAAUACUAUUGAAUGAAUGUGCAUGCUGAUCUGUACCGUCAAUGUUAAAAUAAAACUUUUCCUCUGCUCCAAUAGUAGUGAAUCUGUGCCUCUAAUGAGAGUGGGGCAGGAAUGGUGGAAAGGGCAGUGUUUUAUCCU
rnacentral:lncRNA from 1 species